rnacentral:rRNA from 1 species
UACGAAGGGGGCUAGCGUUGUUCGGAAUUACUGGGCGUAAAGCGUGCGCAGGCGGUUUUGUAAGUCAGAUGUGAAAUCCCCGGGCUUAACCUGGGAACUGCGUUUGAAACUACAAGGCUAGAGUGUGGCAGAGGGGGGUGGAAUUCCACGUGUAGCAGUGAAAUGCGUAGAGAUGUGGAGGAACACCGAUGGCGAAGGCAGCCCCCCUGGGUUAACACUGACGCUCAGGCACGAAAGCGUGGGGAGCAAACAGG